AUUGAACGCUGGCGGCAUGCCUUACACAUGCAAGUCGAACGGUAACAGGGAGCUUGCUCCGCUGACGAGUGGCGAACGGGUGAGUAAUGUAUCGGAACGUACCUUUUAGUGGGGGAUAACGUAGCGAAAGUUACGCUAAUACCGCAUAUUCUCUGAGGAGGAAAGCAGGGGACCUUCGGGCCUUGCGCUAAUAGAGCGGCUGAUAUCAGAUUGGCUAGUUGGUGAGGUAAAGGCUCACCAAGGCGACGAUUUGUAGCGGGUCUGAGAGGAUGAUCCGCCACGCUGGAACUGAGACACGGUCCAGACUCCUGCGGGAGGCAGCAGUGGGGAAUUUUGGACAAUGGGGGCAACCCUGAUCCAGCCAUGCCGCGUGAGUGAAGAAGGCCUUCGGGUUGUAAAGCUCUUUCGGCCGGGAAAAAAUCGCAUGGGUUAAUACCCUGUGUGGAUGAUGGUACCGGAAUAAGAAGCACCGGCUAACUACGUGCCAGCCGCCGCAGUAACAC
rnacentral:rRNA from 1 species